rnacentral:rRNA from 1 species
UUGGGAAUAUUGCACAAUGGGCGAAAGCCUGAUGCAGCGACGCCGCGUGAGGGAUGACGGCCUUCGGGUUGUAAACCUCUUUCAGCAGGGACGAAGCGCAAGUGACGGUACCUGCAGAAGAAGCACCGGCUAACUACGUGCCAGCAGCCGCGGUAAUACGUAGGGUGCAAGCGUUGUCCGGAAUUACUGGGCGUAAAGAGUUCGUAGGCGGUUUGUCGCGUCGUUUGUGAAAACCAGCAGCUCAACUGCUGGCUUGCAGGCGAUACGGGCAGACUUGAGUACUGCAGGGGAGACUGGAAUUCCUGGUGUAGCGGUGAAAUGCGCAGAUAUCAGGAGGAACACCGGUGGCGAAGGCGGGUCUCUGGGCAGUAACUGACGCUGAGGAACGAAAGCGUGGGUAGCGAACAGG